CCUUUUGGACAUGGACAGUACGAGGGCAGGAUGUAGCUACGAGUGUCUCCUGGUUUCAAUGGUGGAUCGGUCAGGAUUUGCCUCCAGACGAUUUAGACUUAAUAUGGCUUACAAGAUUAGGAUUUUAGAGCCAGGCAUGGUGGCACACACCUUUAAUCCCAGCACUUGAGAGGCAGAGGCAGGCAAAUUUCUGAGUUUGAGGACAGCCCGGUGUACAGAAUGAGUUCCAGGAUAGCCAAGGGCUACACAGAGAAAUCCAAGGUUGUGUUGUGUUUUCCUUCACGUGGCGGCUCAUCCAGAUUCAAGAGAGAAAGCUUUUAGAUUGGGUGUUGAACUCCAGGCUGCUUGGUUAAUACCUCAGAAGUGUGUGAAAUCCCCAGCAAGUCUUCUGCAAGCAAGCCUCUGUUGAUGAUAACCUAAGGGUAGACAACGAUGAGAUGGGUGAAUCCCUGGACAGGGAAGCCAUGAGUGAAGCUCUCCAUGAGACUGUUCCCUUGUGUAUUACAGAAGCAGGUUCUUCCCACUGUGAGUUAAUGUGAACCUAGGCUUCCAGGAAAAACAGUUCCUCUUACAGUUAACUGUGGCAUAGGAAGGUCACCUUUUCAUCCUAGUGCUAACACCCAGCUGGAGUGGCACUAUUACUGGAAUAAAACCCUGAAAGGAAAAUCAGGCGAAUCAGACUGAAGAGUACGGCAGUCAAUAAGGGUCACCCAGAGGAGUUUGUUCUACUCAGGUUUGCAGACAGUUCUUGGCUGGGACUCCCUUCAUUAUUCUUGUGGAAACAUAGCCCAGAGCGAUGACUGGGAAGAUUACCAUCAUUCUCCUGUCUUCCUUAGACCCAUGAUUCCACAGCUCCAGGUAUUUCUUCCUCACCAACCUCUCCUUUCUGGACAUGUGCUACACCACAAGCAUCGUGCCUCAGAUGCUAACUGACCUGAGGGCCUCCCACAAAGACCAUCAGCUUCAUGGGAUGUGUAGUUCAGCUUUAUUUGUUCCACACAAUUGGGGGUACAGGGGGUAUCCUCCUAGUUCUUAUGUCCUCUGUACGCUUGCUAUGUGGACAUCUGCGGAUUUCUGUGCUACACCUUGUCGAAGGCCAGCUCUGGAGUUCUAGUUCUUUCUUGAUGGUAGCUGAGCAUCAGUGGAGGCAAGACUUGGUCUUGUGAUGGAUUGAAAUUGCUUUUUUUAAUUAAUAAUAGUGUUUACCUGUCUUGACUUUAAGUUACUGUGAAGCCAGAAUCUACAGGCCUCUGGUCAAAUGAACACAUCUCUUAACAGCAGAGGACUGAGUAAAGGAUUCAUUGCGAGGGCUCCUUUCUCUUUUGCCCAGAAGCCUCGCCUUUAGCUUCGCAGGUGCUAGGGAGCAAGAAACUUUUAUUGGGCCAGAAGAGAGUCAUGCUUGCAUAAGGAAAAAAUUUACACAUGUGAAUAUGCAUAAACACACAUAUUUUCAUAAUAACAUUCAUACCUAUUUGUUGAGCCCAACAGUUUAUCUAAUCAGCUUACAUACAUACACACAUACAUACAUACGUACACACAUACAUUACAUACUUACACACAUACAUACAUACUUAUCUAAGCAUAUGGAGCAGAGGUCCAAACAUCAGUGCAGAAAGAACUCACUCAUUCUGGAUGAAAAAUGAGUUCCAAUCUUUAUUGCAUAGAGAAAGGAAAAACUUCUACCUUUUAUUGCUAAAUUAAUUAAACCCAAGUCUAUAAGAAAAAAAAAACUUUGCCCUUUUUAGUAAGACUGAGGCCUGCCUUGUUAAGAAAAGACCUGUUCUGUCCCAUGGUAAGGAGAAGCCCACUGCUCUUUCUGCUUUUUUUGCAGCUUCUUUGUCCCUCCUUCCCUCUGUUCUUUGCAUAUUGCUCUCUUCUUCUGCUCCUGUCUUAACGUCCUCUUUACUUUUAAGGGAAAGUAAAAUGGGAGAAAUCUAUCAGAAUAUAUUCUCUCUUAGUUUCUAAAUUACUCACUUAAUUUUAAGUUACUCUACUCUGCUGUCUUUCUCCUUAUUCCUCCUAAUUUUGUUCUCUCCUUCUCCUUCUAACCUUGCGUCCUCCUCCUACUCUGAUGUUAUGUCAUGUGAUGUAAACAUUCAUAGUUUUCGUACCUUUUCUAGGGGGAUAGAUCACAUGGUUUUUCCAAGUAUCAUUUUUUUUCAAAAGUUCAAAUAAAAACUCAAAUCAUAAAUUGUAUAAGAAGUUUACAAUACAGAUGUUUUACAUGUAUAUCCCUUAAGAUUAACUAUCUGGCUAAAUAAUAAUUUUCUGUCACUGGCUUCAGGGGUUCAUGGGGAGUUAAAGAUCAUAUCUUUUUUGUAUCUCAUUUGGCACUGAAGUUUUGUGUAGAUAAACCCAGUCAAUAUUUUAUCUUCUGUUUUUGCACUCACAAUAAAUCAUUAGUUCCCUUG
rnacentral:lncRNA from 1 species